rnacentral:rRNA from 1 species
GCCGCGUGCAGGAUGAAGGCCUUCGGGUUGUAAACUGCUUUUGUACGGAACGAAAAGACUCUGGUUAAUACCUGGGGUCCAUGACGGUACCGUAAGAAUAAGCACCGGCUAACUACGUGCCAGCAGCCGCGGUAAUACGUAGGGUGCAAGCGUUAAUCGGAAUUACUGGGCGUAAAGCGUGCGCAGGCGGUCAUAUAAGACAGAUGUGAAAUCCCCGGGCUCAACCUGGGAACUGCAUUUGUGACUGUAUAGCUAGAGUACGGCAGAGGGGGAUGGAAUUCCGCGUGUAGCAGUGAAAUGCGUAGAUAUGCGGAGGAACACCGAUGGCGAAGGCAAUCCCCUGGGCCUGUACUGACGCUCAUGCACGAAAGCGUGGGGAGCAAACAGGAUUAAAUACCCUGGUAGUCCACGCCCUAAACGAUGUCAACUGGUUGUUGGGUCUUCACUGACUCAGUAACGAAGCUAACGCGUGAAGUUGACCGCCUGGGGAGUACGGCCAC